rnacentral:rRNA from 1 species
GAUGAACGCUAGCGGCAGGCUUAACACAUGCAAGUCGAGGGGCAGCACGUCUUCGGAUGGUGGCGACCGGCGCACGGGUGCGUAACGCGUAUACAACCUACCUUAUAGAGGGGAAUAGCCCAGAGAAAUUUGGAUUAAUGCCCCAUAGUAUUAUUGAAUAGCAUUAUUUGAUGAUUAAACAUUUAUGGCUAUAAGAUGGGUAUGCGUUCUAUUAGCUAGAUGGUAAGGUAACGGCUUACCAUGGCGACGAUAGAUAGGGGUCCUGAGAGGGAGAUCCCCCACACUGGUACUGAGACACGGACCAGACUCCUACGGGAGGCAGCAGUGAGGAAUAUUGGACAAUGGGCGAGAGCCUGAUCCAGCCAUGCCGCGUGCAGGAAGACGGCCCUAUGGGUUGUAAACUGCUUUUAUACGGGAAGAAACACUCCUUCGUGAAGGAGCUUGACGGUACCGUAAGAAUAAGGAUCGGCUAACUCCGUGCCNGCAGCCGAC